CCUACGGGAGGCAGCAGUGGGGGAUAUUGCACAAUGGGGGAAACCCUGAUGCAGCGCCGCCGCGUGAGUGAAGAAGUAUUUCGGUAUGUAAAGCUCUAUCAGCAGGGAAGAAAAUGACAGUACCUGACCACGAAGCCCCGGCUAACUACGGUCCAGCAGCCGCGGUAAUACGGAGGGGGCAAGCGUUAUCCGGAUUUAAUGGGGGUAAAGGGGGCGUAGACGGUUAUGUAAGUCUGGAGGGAAAGCCCGGGGCCCAACCCCGGGACUGCGUUGGACACUGUGUAACUGGAGUACAGGAGGGGCAGGCGGAAUGCCUGGUGUAGCGGUGAAAUGCGUAGAUAUCAGGAGGAACACCGGCGGCGAAGGCGGCCUGCUGGACUGAAACUGACGUUGAGGCUCGAAAGCGUGGGGAGCAAACAGGAUUAGAUACCCUAGUAGUC
rnacentral:rRNA from 1 species